rnacentral:rRNA from 1 species
GAUGAACGCUGGCGGCGUGCCUAAUACAUGCAAGUCGAGCGAACGGACGAGAAGCUUGCUGCUCUGAUGUUAGCGGCGGACGGGUGAGUAACACGUGGAUAACCUACCUAUAAGACUGGGAUAACUUCGGGAAACCGGAGCUAAUACCGGAUGAUAUUUUGAACCGCAUGGUUCAAAAGUUAAAGACGGUCUUGCUGCUACUUAUAGAUGGAUCCGCCCUGCUUUAGCUAGUUGGUAAGGUAACAGCUUACCAAGGCAACGAUGCAUAGCCGACCUCAGAGGGUGAUCGGCCACACUGGAACUGAGACACGGUCCAGACUCCUACGGGCGGCAGCGGUAGGGAAUCUUCCGCUAUGGGCGAAAGCCUGACGGAGCAACGCCGCGUGAGUGAUGAAGGUCUUCGGCUCGUAAAGCUCUGUUAUUAGGGAAGAACAUAUGUGUAAGUAACUGUGCACAUCUUGACGGUACCUGAUCAGAAAGCCCCGGCUAACUACGUG